CACAUUGGGAGUCUCUCAUAGCCGACAUAAACCAUGUGAGCUACAUGGAGUCCAACGUCCAACUCACGUUGGGGAGAGCUAUCCUAUCCUUGCCAUCGGAGUAGGACCUUAAUAUUUUAUUCACUAUUGAUCACUUUAUAUAAAUCAGCUUCAAGCUCACAACCUACAGGGGCACAUAGUUCUAGGGAAGUACCAAUCCUUCUAUACCUCCCGCUCCGUGCUAAAGACUACUCCCAG
rnacentral:lncRNA from 1 species